AGAAAAGGUGGGGGUUUGCAAAGGGAGUAACUUCUGGUUCCUUUGUUACUUAGGUAUGGAAAGUUAGGGUUUUCCUUUCACUUUAGUUCUAGGAAGUCAGCGUGAAACGCCUGAAGUUUUCUGCCUCCAGACUCUACUCUCCUGCCUCAAUUCUACUCUCUACUUUUAUAAGCUCGACUCACAUUUGAUGACAUAGAAGACUUAAUUUCCUCCUCAUGAUUAAUCUCUCAGUUGGAGAGUAUACACACUCUUACACAGAAUCCAGGACGAAAGCCCUCAUCAGAUGCUUACAUCAUGAUCUUGGACUUCCCAGCCUCCAGACUGAGGCUGAGGCGUGAGUUCAUUUUAAUAAAUGGGAAAAGAAAGUAACCCAGGCCAAGGAGAUUCAUCUUUGGAAAAGAGCCUAGCAGAAAUACAACAUCAUCCUACCUCAGAAACUGGAUAAACAAAUGCCCAAAUGAGAGAAACAGAAACCACAGCUCCUAGAAAAAACUCUUGAACCAUAAGAAGACUGUAAAAGAAAGGGGCUGAAUUCUGACCAUAGGAGGAGUCACGCAAAAAUCUCCCUUUAUGUGGUUCCCAGUGAGCUUGUCUGAAAGGGAAAUGAGUGGUGAAAGGCUUUUAGUUUUAAAUUUUCGUCAAAAGGAUGAUCUAUUCUGUUGCAUUAUGGCCCAUGCAGAAAAGAAGGAAAAUCAAAGUAAUGCUGAGGAGGCCACUUCAAGGGGGGAAAAAGAAUAACUUUCAGUUAGUAUUUUCGUUUGUUUCAAAAAUAGACAACAUUUGGCAUAAGGUCACUUGUAUAUUACUGAGGAUG
rnacentral:lncRNA from 1 species